rnacentral:rRNA from 1 species
UACGUAGGGGGCAAGCGUUGUCCGGAUUUAUUGGGCGUAAAGAGCGUGUAGGCGGUCAGGUAGGUCCGUUGUGAAAACUCGAGGCUCAACCUCGAGCUGUCGAUGGAAACCAUCUGGCUAGAGUCCGGAAGAGGAGAGUGGAAUUCCUGGUGUAGCGGUGAAAUGCGCAGAUAUCAGGAAGAACACCCGUGGCGAAGGCGGCUCUCUGGGACGGUACUGACGCUGAGACGCGAAAGCGUGGGGAGCGAACAGG